CCUGGCGGCAGUAGCGCGGUGGUCCCACCUGACCCCAUGCCGAACUCAGAAGUGAAACGCCGUAGCGCCGAUGCCG
rnacentral:rRNA from 1 species